CAGGGUAUAAACUGAACCGCGCGUUCCUGGAUUCCAACACGUCCCCAACCGGCCCAAGUACCUCUUCUUUGCCACUUGCUUUGGACGGCCUCACCUCAUCUCCAAAUGGACCCCAACUGCUCCUGCUCCACUGGCAGCUCCUGCAACUGCGCUGGUUCCUGCACCUGCAAGGCCUGCAGAUGUCCCUCCUGCAAGAAGAGCUGCUGCUCCUGCUGCCCUGUGGGCUGUGCCAAGUGUGCCCAGGGCUGCAUCUGCAAAGGGGCCUCGGACAAGUGCAGCUGUUGUGCCUGAUGUGGGGUAGAGCCUGCUCCCAGGUGUCAGUGGAGGAACGUGGGCCAACCUGCCUUUUUAUACAACUCUGACUUGAUCUCUACAUUCCCUUUCUUAGGAAAUAUGUAAAUGGUAAUAAAGGUUGUUGACACUA